UUCCGGUUGAUCCCGCCGGACCCCACUGCUAUCGAGAUGGGACUAAGGUAUGCUAGUCGAACGACCAGUACUAUGUCUGGAAGUGGCACACUGCUCAGUAACACGUAGCUAACCUACCCUUAGGACGUGGAUACCCCCGAGAAAUUGGGGUUAAUCCGCGAUAGGUGUAAUGUCCUGGAAUGGUAUUACGCCUAAAGGUGUAUCAUACAUGUUUGAUAUACGCCUAAGGAUGGGGCUGCGGCCGAUCAGGCUGUUGGUGAGGUAAUGGCUCACCAAACCUUUGACCGGUACGGGCCAUGAGAGUGGUAGCCCGGAGAUGGACACUGAGACAAGGGUCCAGGCCCUAAGGGGCGCAGCAACCGCGAAACCUCCACAAUGCACUCACGUGCGAUGGGGCUAUCUCGAGUGCCACCUGAUGAAGGUGGCUUUUCCUAGGUCUUCAAAGCCUUGGGAAUAAGAGGGGGGCAAGACUGGUGUCAGCCGCCGCGGUAACACCAGCCCCUCGAGUGGUGGGGAUGAUUAUUUGGCCUAAAGCGUCCGUAGCCGGCCGAGCAAGUCUUCCGUUAAAUCCAGCGUCUCAAGCGUUGGACUGCGGGAGAUACUACACGGCUAGAGAGUGGGAGAGGUCAGCGGUAUUCUGGGGGUAGGGGCGAAAUCCUUUGAUCCCCGGAGGACCACCAGUGGCGAAGGCUGCUGACUAGAACACGUCUGACGGUCAGGGACGAAAGCUGGGGUAGCGAACCGGAUUAGAUACCCGGGUAGUCCCAGCCGUAAACGAUGCAUGCUAGGUGUUGGGUUGGCCACGAGCCACCCCAGUGCCGCAGGGAAGCCGUUAAGCAUGCCGCCUGGGAAGUACGAUCGC
rnacentral:rRNA from 1 species